rnacentral:rRNA from 1 species
GAUGAACGCUGGCGGCGUGCCUAAUACAUGCAAGUCGAGCGAACGGACGAGAAGCUUGCUUCUCUGAUGUUAGCGGCGGACGGGUGAGUAACACGUGGAUAACCUACCUAUAAGACUGGGAUAACUUCGGGAAACCGGAGCUAAUACCGGAUAAUAUUUUGAACCGCAUGGUUCAAAAGUGAAAGACGGUCUUGCUGUCACUUAUAGAUGGAUCCGCGCUGCAUUAGCUAGUUGGUAAGGUAACGGCUUACCAAGGCAACGAUGCAUAGCCGACCUGAGAGGGUGAUCGGCCACACUGGAACUGAGACACGAUCCAGACUCCUACGGGAGGCAGCAGUAGGGAAUCUUCCGCAAUGGGCGAAAGCCUGACGGAGCAACGCAGCGUGAGUGAUGAAGGUCUGCGGAUCGUAAAACGCUGUUAUUAGGGAAGAACAUAUGUGUAAGUAACUGUGCACAUCUUGACGGGACCUAAUCAGAAAGCCACGGCUAACUACGU